rnacentral:rRNA from 1 species
UGUUUGUUUUGCUGCAUCGAUCAGAAAGCAGCUAAAUGAGCGUCAGAAUGUGAACAGCAGAACACAUGAACACCGACACGUUGAACGCAUAUUGCACCUCGUACAACCGUACGAGGUACACAUUUUUGAGUGCCUAUAUUUAGUACUUGAACUACCCGACCACCCAGCCACCGCUGGGUAGUCUCGUGCGUAAUGACGUGUUCCUGGCACAAUAGCCGGUAACACGUUUAAGAUAGUCAGACUCGGUGUAUGUGUUGUGUAUCGUUGUCUCCCACAACACACACAUGCAUUCAUGGUGGUUGAGGAGAACACUCCAAGGGGGGGCAACUUUUGUUGUUCGGAGUCUUUCAUCUCGACACACACAACACAGAGUAUAAUAAAUAUAGUAGGCCUCAAAUAAUGUACUCACAA